GAAUUCGCCCUUAGAGUUUGAUCCUGGCUCAGGACGAACGCUGGCGGCGUGCUUAACACAUGCAAGUCGAGCGAAGACUUUUCCGUCUUGAUACGGAUUAUCGGCAGACGGGUGAGUAACACUUGCGCAACCUGCCUCUGACAGGGGAAUAGCCUUCCGAAAGGGAGAUUAAUACCGCAUAAGAUUGUAGUACCGCAUGGUACAGCAAUUAAAGGAGCAAUCCGCUAUGAGAUGGGCCCGCGGCGCAUUAGCUAGUUGGUGAGGUAACGGCUCACCAAGGCGACGAUGCGUAGCCGACCUGAGAGGGUGAUCGGCCACAUUGGGACUGAGACACGGCCCAGACUCCUACGGGAGGCAGCAGUGGGGAAUAUUGCACAAUGGGCGAAAGCCUGAUGCAGCAACGCCGCGUGAGGGAAGACGGUUUUCGGAUUGUAAACCUCUGUCUUCGGUGACGAAAAAAAUGACGGUAGCCGAGGAGGAAGCCACGGCUAACUACGUGCCAGCAGCCGCGGUAAUACGGAGGAUCCGAGCGUUAUCCGGAUUUAUUGGGUUUAAAGGGUGAGUAGGCGGUAGUAUAAGUCAGCGGUGAAAACUUGCAGCUCAACUGUAAGCUUGCCGUUGAAACUGUAUUACUUGAGUUAAGUUGAGGUAUGCGGAAUGUGGUGUGUAGCGGUGAAAUGCAUAGAUAUACCACAGAACGUCGAUUGCGAAGGCAGCAUACUAAGUUUAUACUGACGCUGAUGCACGAAAGCGUGGGGAUCAAACAGGAUUAGAUACCCUGGUAGUCCACGCCGUAAACUAGGAUUACUCGUUGUUUGCGAUAUACUGUAAGCGACUGCGCGAAAGCGUUAAGUAUGCCGCCUGGGGAGUACGUACGCAAGUAUGAAACUCAAAGGAAUUGACGGGGGCCCGCACAAGCGGUGGAGCAUGUGGUUUAAUUCGAUGCAACGCGCAGAACCUUACCAGGGUUUGACAUGGAAUCGCCGCAGCGAGAGAUCGCUGUUUAGUGUUUACACUACGGUUCACACAGGUGCUGCAUGGCUGUCGUCAGCUCGUGUCGUGAGAUGUUGGGUUAAGUCCCGCAACGAGCGCAACCCAUAUUUCUAGUUGCUACUCGCAAGAGAGCUCUCUAGAGAGACUGCCGGGGACAACCCGGAGGAAGGUGUGGAUGACGUCAAGUCCUCAUGGCCCUUACAUCCUGGGCUACACACGUGCUGCAAUGGUCGGUACAAAGGGCAGCAAAACCGUGAGGUGGAGCGAAUCCUCAAAGCCGGCCUCAGUUCGGAUUGGAGUCUGCAACUCGACUCCAUGAAGCUGGAAUCGCUAGUAAUCGUGGGUCAGCAUACCACGGUGAAUACGUUCCCGGGCCUUGUACACACCGCCCGUCA
rnacentral:rRNA from 1 species